GUCUUGUAAAUAAAAUGGGUCGAAGGGGAAAAGAACUGACAUCUUAUCAGAAAAGGGAUUUCGCUGCAUUAAAUGAUGCAGGUUACCGAAAAAGUGAAAUAGUCAGACUGACCGGCAUUACACAAAGACCCGUUGACAUUUUUUGAAGAGGUAUGAACAUCGCGGUGAUAUAGAAAACAUACGGAGAUGCAGCAGACCUAAAUCCUUUCAUGACCGGUAUAUGAGAAAAUUUUCCCGUCCCGUAAAAAAAUAUCGCCAUGAAGGUUUAGCUGAAAUUACAAAUAAUUUUAAUGAGAACAUUGAUAGACCUUUCUCUAAAAGAACUGUUGAAUGUAAAAUACAUUUUGAUUGAUUCUGCACGCGGUCAGUUUAAAAAAAAAUAUCGUAUAUGUGAGAUCAAUUAGAAAAAACGAGUGGCAUACUGCAUAGGAAAUCUACAUAAAAGAGGAAAUGUACACUGGAGUAAAUGGAUAUUCAACGAUAAGUGAAAGGUAGUCAUACGGCAAAAUUCUUCAGCCAAUGUCUAGAGAAGGUCGGAGAAGAGUGGUUGAUGGAUUGUAUUUUCCUUCCGUCUCAGCGCAACUAUUGUUUGAUGAUCUGGGGAUGUAUUAAUUACAAUGACGUGGGAAUUAUUAACUGUUAUUGACGGGAACAUAAAUGCCUUAAAAUACUUUGACAUAAUUGACAACAAAGUGUGGUCAAUGAUUAUUAAAUUCAGAAGAGUUUUUAAACUCGACGUCGAAUAAUCUCACAAAAAAGGAAACAAAUAUUUCGGCGACUUUUGUUAGCAGGUAUACUCGAAUGACCAUUAGGAAAAAAGCGAAACAUCAAUAUCAAGGUAAUCAAUUUUACAUUUAUUGUACCUAAUAUAUCUGCACUGUGUGGUGUGAUCUAAUUUUGUUGAAAAUAUUGACAAAAAAAAGUAGGCACGUAAAACAUCUCUAAUUAUUAUCAAUUUCUAAUAAAACAACGUUUUUCUAUUGCAACGAAAGUCCUUUCAAAGUCCGAACCAAUGACAAGGUUUAUAAAAAAAUAAAUCAGCGCUUUUAUGAAAAGAUGUUUUCAAUGAACAUAAUAAAAGAGGAACGAAAGAUACAAGAGGGACAGUCAAACUCAUAAAUCGAAAAUAAACUGACAACACCAUGGCUAAAAAUAAAAAGUUCAAACAGACAAACAAUAGUACACAUGAUACAACAUAGAAAACUAAAGAAUAAACAACACGAACCGCAUUUAUAAUUAUACCUUCACAUUUCACACAAUUAGUUGUUAACCCAUUCGAACAAAAAGAACUGCAUUCUUAGCUGUUUAUUAUUUUGAACAAAAGCCUAAUGAAAAAAUUAUAAAGUAUGCACUGUUUUCUAUUAUACAUUGAUAACUUACUUCAUCAAUUUACAAUUAUUGACUUAGUUUUAUUAUUAAUUUCAGAAAAAAAUGAUCAUCUUGUCGAAUAAUCUCACAAAAGUAGAAGCAAAAAUUUCGGCGACUUUUUUAACAGGUAUAUUCAAAUGACCGUUAGAAAAAAGCGGAACAUCAAUAUUAUGGUAAUCAACUUUACGUUUAUUCUACCUAACAUAACGGCACUGUGUGUUGUGAUUUAAUUUUGUUGAAAAAAUUGACAAAAAAAAAAUUAGCACGUAAAACAUCUGAUAAAUAAGCAAUAUCGAAUAAAACAACGUUUCUCUAUUGCAAGAAAAGUGUUUCACAAGUUGAAACUAGGGACAAAGUGUGAAGAAAUACAAAACAGCGCUUUUAUGAAAAGACGUUUUCAAAGAAUAUCACAAUUAUACAAUCACAUUUCACACAAUAAGUUGUUAACCCAUUUGAACAACUAUAACUGCAUUCUUAGUUGUUGAUAAUUUUUGUAAAAAAAAAAUGGCCGAAAAAGGUAUAAAGUGCGCACUGUUUUUUUUUUACCUUAUACAUUAAUUACCUACUUCAUCUAUAAAUAAUUAUUGUAUACUUUUUAUUUUCAUUAUCAGAAGAAUUUUCAAACUCGUGGAAUAAUAUCUGAAAAGAGGAAGCAAAAAUUUCGACGACUUCUUUUUAGCAGGAAUAUUCGAAUGACCGUUAGAAAAAAAGAGAAACAUCAAUAUCAAGAUAAUCAAUUGUACAAUAACUCUAACUAAUAUAACGGCACUGUGUGGUGUGGUAUAAUUUGGUGAAAAUAUUGACUGACAAAAGUGGGCACGUAACACAUCUCAUCAAUAAGCAAUUUCCAAUAAAUCAACAUUUUUAUUUUGCAAGGAAAGUCCUUACUAAGUCAACCAAAGUGACAAAGUUUGCAGAAAAAUAAAUCAGGGCUUUUCUGAAAAGCUGUUUUCAUUGAAGAUACAUGUAGCAAUUAUACAGUAUUCUGCCAUAAGUAUUCGUAAAAACAACAAUUGCGGUCACGUCAUGGAAGGUUAAACAAGUUUUGGCCGUCGUCUCCAUGUCACAAUCUGGAUGACCGUGAAUCUAAAUUUAAAUAUAAAUUGAUCUGUAGAAAAACAUGUGGUUGUCAUGUGACACGUGCAUGAUGGCAUCAACCUUGUCUUGUAAAUAAAAUGGGUCGAAGGGGAAAAGAACUGACAUCUUAUCAGAAAAGGGAUUUCGCUGCAUUAAAUGAUGCAGGUUACCGAAAAAGUGAAAUAGUCAGACUGACCGGCAUUACACAAAGACCCGUUGACAUUUUUUGAAGAGGUAUGAACAUCGCGGUGAUAUAGAAAACAUACGGAGAUGCAGCAGACCUAAAUCCUUUCAUGACCGGUAUAUGAGAAAAUUUUCCCGUCCCGUAAAAAAAUAUCGCCAUGAAGGUUUAGCUGAAAUUACAAAUAAUUUUAAUGAGAACAUUGAUAGACCUUUCUCUAAAAGAACUGUUGAAUGUAAAAUACAUUUUGAUUGAUUCUGCACGCGGUCAGUUUAAAAAAAAAUAUCGUAUAUGUGAGAUCAAU
rnacentral:lncRNA from 1 species